GAUGAACGCUGGCGGCGUGCCUAAUACAUGCAAGUCGAGCGAACAGACGAGGAGCUUGCUCCUCUGACGUUAGCGGCGGACGGGUGAGUAACACGUGGAUAACCUACCUAUAAGACUGGGAUAACUUCGGGAAACCGGAGCUAAUACCGGAUAAUAUAUUGAACCGCAUGGUUCAAUAGUGAAAGACGGUUUUGCUGUCACUUAUAGAUGGAUCCGCGCCGCAUUAGCUAGUUGGUAAGGUAACGGCUUACCAAGGCGACGAUGCGUAGCCGACCUGAGAGGGUGAUCGGCCACACUGGAACUGAGACACGGUCCAGACUCCGACGGGAGGCAGCAGUAGGGAAUCUUCCGCAAUGGGCGAAAGCCUGACGGAGCAACGCCGCGUGAGUGAUGAAGGUCUUCGGAUCGUAAAACUCUGUUAUUAGGGAAGAACAAAUGUGUAAGUAACUAUGCACGUCUGGACGGUACCUAAUCAGAAAGCCACGGCUAACUACGU
rnacentral:rRNA from 1 species